rnacentral:misc_RNA from 1 species
AGCAGCCGCGGUAAUUCCAGCUCCAAUAGCGUAUAUUAAAGUUGUUGCAGUUAAAAAGCUCGUAGUUGAAUUUUGGAUUCUGCCAAUUGGUCCAUCUUUUAGAUGAGUACUGGUUGUGUGGGGUCUAUCCGCCUGGUGAUACGUAAUGUCCUUUAUUGGAUGUUGCGGGUAGUCAGGACCUUUACCUUGAAAAAAUUAGAGUGUUUAAAGCAGGCUUAUGCCGGAAUACAUUAGCAUGGAAUAAUAGAAUAGGACGAAGUUGUUUUAUUUUGUUGGUUUCUAGGACAACCGUAAUGAUUAAUAGGGAUAGUUGGGGGCAUUAGUAUUCAAUUGUCAGAGGUGAAAUUCUUGGAUUUAUUGAAGACUAACUACUGCGAAAGCAUUUGCCAAGGAUGUUUUCAUUAAUCAAGAACGAAAGUUAGGGGAUCGAAGACGAUCAGAUACCGUCGUAGUCUUAACCAUAAACGAUGCCGACCAGGGAUCGGCGGAUGUUGCUUUUAGGACUCCGCCGGCACCUUAU